rnacentral:rRNA from 1 species
UACGAAGGGGGCUAGCGUUGAUCGGAAUUACUGGGCGUAAAGGGCGCGUAGGCGGUCUUGUAAGUCAGAUGUGAAAGCCCCGGGCUCAACCCGGGAAUAGCAUUUGAUACUGCGAGGCUUGAGUCCGGGAGAGGAGGGCGGAAUUCCCAGUGUAGAGGUGAAAUUCGUAGAUAUUGGGAAGAACACCGGUGGCGGAGGCGGCCAGCUGGACCGGUACUGACGCUGAGGCGCGAAAGCGUGGGGAGCAAACAGG